UUUUCUGCUUCACUUGUUUAUGUAGUUGAACUUGAUGGGAGGCAUACAUUGAUAUUGGGAGUUCAUUAGUAGCACCUUUUUUUUUCCAGGGGGUGUUUCAAUGGUAUCUUUCUGUACACAU